UCUCACCUUCUAGGUGGGGAGAAGGCUGGAAGAGGAGGGUGUGUUCAGAUUUACCCAAAAAGGGGAGACAUUUGGGCCAUUUAUCGAAAUUGGUCGCCAGAUUGGAACAGGAAAACCCCAGAUGAAGUGAGGCACCAGUAUGAAAUGGUGGAGGUCCUUGGUGAUUAUUCUGAAGAUUUUGGUGUUUGCAUUGCUCCUUUGGUCAAAUUAGAUGGAUUCAAGACAAUAUACCGACGAAACACGAAUCAGGA
rnacentral:misc_RNA from 1 species